CCUGCCACAGCCGGAUAAUCGGGAGAAAUUCCGUCUAAUACGGCAUAAUGCAUCGACGGGACAUCCUGUUGGUGCCAAAGGUUAAUUCCGGUGGCGGAUGGGCAUGCGUCGCAUUAGUUAGUUGGCGGUGUAACGGACCACCAAGACGACGAUGCGUAGGGGUUCUGAGAGGAAGGUCCCCCACACUGGUACUGAGACACGGACCAGACUCCUACGGGAGGCAGCAG
rnacentral:rRNA from 1 species